AUGCUGCAUGGCCUCCCCAUAGCGGCGGUGGGAGCCUCGGCCGGGGAGAGCCCGCUCAGGGGCAGGAAGUGCUCGGCCCUCCUCGUGGAGGGCGUUUCCGGAGCGCCUGCCGUGCUCCUUGCCGGGGUGGGGGUCGUUACCGAGUGGGAACUUCUGCAAAUCCUGACUUUUGUCAGUUCGCGCCCCGCACAAGAUGUCCUGCCGGCGGUGCGAUUGCUCCCGUUGCUUCGAGGGGAAACUGAGGCCAGUUAGUCCGGGCACUUACCCGCAGCUAGUUAAGGACUAGGCUUUGAUGGGGACGCUUGUUAUGACCUCAGUGGCCUGUAGAAUCUGGGAGGCCGUCUCCGACCUAAGCCCAAAAAGCACAUGGUCGGGCUCACAGGGGGCGGCCAGAGGUGAAAACAGCCAACGCUUUACAACGACGCUGUGCGGGGCACUUCGUGUGUGUCAUCCCGUCUCAUCCUCGGGUGAUGGGGUAUGUGUUGUCCUAUGUAAGUCUCUGGCUUACUCAUGAGCCGCAGAGAGGUUCUUGAUUUGCUUUUGUCACACAGUCAACCGGUGUCAUUCAGCCCAGGUCGGUCGAUAGUGAAGCCUGAUCCCUUACCCCUUGUGCCCGGCCUUAAACGAUCAGUCCAGGAGCUCCCGGAGUUCCUGUCUGGUUUCUUUUUCCUCUUCUGCCAGUUACACCCUACUCCAGAAGGUUUUCCUUGGCCUCCCCCACCCCAGUCAGUACAUUCUUCCCCCGCUCUCUGCUGUGGGUACCAAAUACUAUGAUAUUUCUGUUAACCAAUCUCUUAGGGCAUCCCCCUACGCCCCCAGCCCUGUACCCGGACACGGCUAGGCCCAGAUAUCUAGGGCCCUUGAGCUUGGAAAUCGCUUUGAAAACAGCUUUUGGACUUAAUUACCCUUUAGCAAUGGAGAACUCUAGGAACAAAACUCUUUAAUUUUUUCCAAACACGCCCUAAGCCAAUCAGAAUGCUAAUUAAAGAUUGUUAAGGUUUCACCUGGACACCCCACAGAAGCCCAGACUUCUUGCAAAUGUUAAAAACCUCCUCACGGCAGCGGGUGAAAUGUCAGUGGCACUGCCUAUUGCUCUCCAUUUCACAGACAGGGAAACUAAGGCCCAGAGUGUGGGUCAGAAACAAUUUUUUUGGCCGAGGAAGUGGUGCUCCCCCCACGGCCCUGUGAAAGAAAAAGCCACGUCUGGGUUGCCUUAGAACUGUUCAUUCGGGAAAAUUGCAAACAACUAAAUACCCCUCACCAGGAGCUGGCCCAUUAUAGCAACUCUGAGACCUCUCUACCACAGGCUCUUAGAAUGGGUGUACUCAAUGUGGAGACAAGGAUGAAGACCUUUAUGACGAUCCACUUCUGCUUAAUGAACAGGCAGAAGAAAAAGAGAAAAGAGAAAACCUUCCAGAAAGUCCAACAAAAAGACAUGAGGAAGAAAAGGUGAGAGCCUGAGGAUCCACCCAGCAGGUACAGCAACUGACUGACAGAAAUUCCAGAGCCAGACAACAGAACAAAUAGAAGUGAGAAAAUUACUUUUAAAAAUUAAUACAAGGUGGCCAGGCAUGGUGGCUCACACCUGUAAUCUCAGCAUUCUGGGAGGCCGAGCCGGGCGGAUUAUCUGAGGUCAGGAGUUCGAGACCAGCCUGGCCAACACAGUGAAACCCCAUCUCUACUAAAAACACAAAAAAUUAGCUGGGCGUGGUGGCGCACACCUGUAAUCCCAGCUACU